rnacentral:rRNA from 1 species
AGCGAACGCUGGCGGCAGGCUUAACACAUGCAAGUCGAGCGCCCCGCAAGGGGAGCGGCAGACGGGUGAGUAACACGUGGGAACGUGCCUUUUGGUUCGGAACAACCCAGGGAAACUUGGGCUAAUACCGGAUAAGCCCUUACGGGGAAAGAUUUAUCGCCAAAAGAUCGGCCCGCGUCUGAUUAGCUAGUUGGUGGGGUAAUGGCCCACCAAGGCUACGAUCAGUAGCUGGUCUGAGAGGAUGAUCAGCCACAUUGGGACUGAGACACGGCCCAAACUCCUACGGGGGGCAGCAGUGGGGAAUAUUGGACAAUGGGGGCAACCCUGAUCCAGCCAUGCCGCGUGAGUGAUGAAGGCCUUAGGGUUGUAAAGCUCUUUUAGCAGGGAAGAUAAUGACGGUACCUGCAGAAAAAGCCCCGGCUAACUUCGUGCCAGCAGCCGCCGCGG